rnacentral:sRNA from 1 species
UUUUUAAAAUGCUUAUCAUUGUGUCUUUUGCCCAUUUUUUAAAAUUUGCUCAUUUCUCUUAUUGCUAUGUGUAGAUUAUUCUACACAUUAAUAUUUUAUCAGUUAUAUAUGUUACAGGCAUCUAGUUUGUUUUUUUCCUUUGUGGUGUUUUUUGGUAAACAGAAGUUGUUGAUUUUAAUGCAGUCCCACAUUAAUGCUGUACCUUAUACUUACUCUGUCUUAAGAAAGCCAUGUUUAGAUGGAUAGCCAUCUCAUUCUUGUAGCCAAGCAUGUUUAUUAUAAUUUUUCUUCCAUCUCUGAAAUAAUUUGCUUGUCAGACUCUAUAGGAAUUAUUCCUCUGUAUGUGGUACUUAAAAAAAAAAACUUUAAACAUGUCAGAUAACAGAAAAGAUCGGAGAAAAUAUCAUAAGGUGAUUCAUACUUAAGGCCAUGUCUUAUAGAUAGAAUACAUACUUAAAUUUGACUGGUGAAAUAUUCUGCAACUCUUCUAGAUGGCAGGUGAUAGUAAAUACACAAAAAUUGUGGUUCUACCAAUAGCAUAUUCAUUCCUUCUAUAACAAAGCUUAUAUUAAUGAGAGAACAGAAGAUGAAAUUAAAAGAGACUUUAUUAUCUCUUUAAAAGCCAUGAGACUUAACAAAAGUUAAAAGUGUGUUUUUUUAAUUCAGGAAGAGGAUCACCUAGCCCGGGUAGAAGAGGCAAUCACCCGUAUGCUUGUGUGUGCCCUGAAAACUGCAGAGAAUCCACAAAAUACCAGAGCCUGGUUAAACCCCACUGAGGUUGAGGAAACGUCCCAUGCAGUCAACUGUUGCUACUUAAAUGCAGCUGUUUCUGCAUUUUUUGAUCACUGCAGAACAUCUGAGGUAGUAGAAAUCCAAGCACUGGGAAGAGAUGGAGAGCACAUGAAAAAGGAAGAAUUAAAUGUGUGCAGCCACAUGGAGGUGGGCCAGACAGGUAGCCAGAACUUGACCACAGGAACAGGCAAACCAGAGACAGCAAGUCCCUUUGGCCCUGAUCUGGUCCCUGUAGCACAGAGGUCCAAGGAACCACCUUCAGAAAGAGGAGGCAUAUUUGGAAGUGAUGGGAAAGACUUUGUUGACAAGGAUGGAGAACACUUUGGAAAACUGCAUUGUGCCAAGAGACAACAAAUAAUGAGCAACAGUGAAAAUGCAAUUGAGGAACAGAUUGCCUCAAAUACUACUAUGGCUCCUUCUCAAACAUUCAUUUCUACGGAUGACUUGCUGGACUGCUUGGUGAAUCCACAAGUAACCAGGAUAGUGGCACAACUUUUGAUACAAGGAAGAAGUUUAUGAUUCUAUUGGAAGAUGACUUUUAAAAUAAUAUUUUUAAAAUAUAUAUCUUUAAGUAGUAUGACUGUAAAAUAAAGAUGAACCAGCAAAAGGUCAGUUUGCAUGUUUGUAAAUGUAUUUAUCCUUACCGAAUUACAUUUCAGUCUGUUGCCACCUUCUUUCAUGCACAUUCCUCUGUGGCCAAACUGGCUGCUCUUUGUUUGUAAGCUUUUGUUCCCCCCUCAUCCCAUACUUUCAGCCUGUCUCAAAUGUAAGUCCCAGGUAUUUCCAGCAGGAAGUAAUGUCUUCCUCAGCCUCAACUAGGGACCAGCCUGCUGCUUACUUUUGCAAAUAAAGUUUUACUAGAA